CGCUGGGCCACAGGAACAGGAUCCCCGAUAGAGCUUGGCUGCAUCACUGGCGUGAUGGCGCGGGUCCCGGUUGAAUCCUUCCUAGAGGAAAUUUAAAAAACUCUUUGUUAUUAUUUCUUCUUCUGAACUUUUCCGGGGAGAAGACUUCUUAAUUUUCUACAUUCUUCCUCUCGUGAGCAGCGAAGUGAAAACACCCGGGGUCCGACUCUCUUCUCCAAACUAUUUGCCCACAACCCAUGUUUCCAGCGGGUUUUGUACUACAGCUUUCAGGAUGUGCAUGGCGUUAAGGUUCCACUCUUCUUUUCCUUUUAAGUACAGCGUAGGGGUCGUUUCCUCUAAGAGGAGUACUCGGAUUUUGACCAUCAGCACCUCACCUGAUCGUCUCUGCAGGGGUGUGAUUAUUUAAAUCACUGCUGCUUCCUCUCGCUUCCUCCAGGGUGGAAACAUCUUAUUUACACAGUCCUUGGUCCAUCGCAUGCAUUGAAACAGUGUAUACUGAAGAC
rnacentral:lncRNA from 1 species